AGUUGCAGAGACAGAGGCUGCACCAUUUUGGAAGAUCAGACAAAAUACUUUCAGAAAAAGAUGGCUAGGAACAGCAAGCUGUGGUACCUUCAGGAUGACAAUAUGAUGUUGGGACAUUAUCUGCCUCCCACUGAUGUGAACAAUACAAAUAUUGAAAAGACCUUCUACCAGAAAUAUUCACGAAGCUUAAAAACCAUGAUUCCGAUCCGCUUAAGAGCAAGGUCUGCCAAGAAUCCCGUGGACAGUGCUGGACUUUUCUCAUUUGCGACCUAUUCUUGGUAUUCCGAUAUAAUGCUCCAAGGAUACCGGCACAAAAUCAAUAUAGAUACUUUGCCUCCUCUCUCCUACUACGAUAGUGCCGAACCGAAUGCCAAAAGAUUUCGACUCCUUUGGGAAGCUGAGGUUGCCAAAGUCGGACUUGAGAAAGCUUCUUUAGGCAAAGUGUUCUUUCAAUUUCAAAGGACAAGGAUUUUCAUGGACAUAAUUGCUAAUAUUUUUUAUGCCAUUUUUGGUGUUUUGGGGCCAACCCUGAUCUUCCAUAACAUCCUCCAGUACAGUGACAAAGAUUCAAAGGACUUGGUGGAGGGUGUGGGCCUCUGCAUGGCUCUUUUUUUCACUGAAUUUUCAAAAGUUGUGUUGUGGUCAUUGACAUGGGCUAUCAACUAUCGCACGGCUGUCAGGGUAAAAGUUGCCGUGACAACUGUUGCUUUUGAGAACCUGCUAGCUUGUAAGUCCUUGAAACACACAUCUUUAGGCACAUUGAUUAAUUUCUUAGCCAGUGAUGGUUUUCGGAUAUUCGAAGCUGCCUUGUUUGGCCCAAUGCCCAUGACCGCACCCCUUUUGAUUGUUGUUUGCACCAUCUAUUCUUGUGCCCUCCUUGGUCCAACGGCACUCAUAGGAACAUUCAUUUAUGCCGCAUUUAUACCAUUACAGAUGUUGAUGGCCAAAUUAACUUCUGUUUUUCGAAGAAGAUCUGUUGUGAUGACUGACAGACGUGUGCAAAUCACGAAUGAGAUUUUGAUGUCCAUUAAGCUAAUCAAAAUGUAUGCCUGGGAAAAAUCUUUUGCAAAAAUUAUCACAGGCAUCAGGGAAACAGAAAGAAGAAUACUGGAAAAGGCAGGAUAUGUCCAAAGCGUGAACUCUGCCCUGACGCCAGUCGUUUCUACUCUAACCAUAGUUAUGCUGUUUUGCUUCCAUACCUUGUUAAAGCGUGAAUUAUCAGCUGCUGUUGCCUUCAGUGUGAUUUCAGUGUUUAAUACCAUGAGGUUUUCAAUUGCCAUUUUGCCAUUUUCCGUGAAAUCCACGGCAGAAGCCAAUGUUGCCUUAAAAAGGCUGAAGAAAAUUCUCACUAUGAAAACGCCUUCUGCAUAUGUGACAACCUUGCAGGGCUCCCUAUAUGCGGUGGUGCUGAAAGACGUCACCAUGUCUUGGGAAAGUGCUUCCAGUGAACACCACACCAAAACUGUUAAAGAAAGACAUCUGACUGGGAAAAGGGUCUGCAAAUCCCCUCCCAGGGUACACCCAGUCAUUUCUGAUUCAGAGAUAUCAAUUGUUGACAGGGAUAUUGACAUCAGCUUUGUCCUGCAGAAUAUAAGUUUUACAGUAGAGAAAGGCAAAGUUUUGGGGAUUUGUGGCAAUGUGGGAAGCGGAAAGACUUCACUCCUCAAAGCAGUAUUAGGACAAAUGUAUCUGUAUCGUGGGAAGGUCGUUGUGAAUGGCACUUUGGCAUACAUGUCACAGCAAGCGUGGAUAUUUCACGGAAGUGUCAGGGAUAAUAUACUGUUUGGAGAAGACUAUGAUGAACAAAGGUAUAAUCAUAUCAUCAACAUUUGCAGUCUCAAGACAGAUAUGGAACGUUUAUCCUAUGGAGAUAUGACCGAAAUAGGAGAAGGGGGUGUGACCCUCUCGGGAGGUCAAAAGCAGAGAAUCACUUUGGCUCGGGCGGUGUAUGCAAACCGAGAUAUUUAUUUAUUGGACGAUCCUUUGUCCGCCGUGGAUGCUCAAGUUGGAAGCUAUAUUUUUGAAGAAUGCAUUAAAAAAGCUCUUAAGGGGAAAACCCUCCUUCUGGUGUCUCAUCAGCUGCAGUAUCUGCAGUUUUGUGAUCAAAUCAUCUUGCUAGAAGAUGGGGAGAUAUCGGAAAGCGGUACCCAUGCACAGCUGAUGAAAGCCAAGGGCCAUUAUGCUCAACUCUUUUAUAAUCAGCACGCAGAAGACGUCAUUAUUGCAGACAACCAAUUUCUUUCGUCGUCUUCAGAUGAAUCCAUGAAAAAGAAAGACAUGAAGGAUUACGAUUCAGACAUCUCUUCCGUAGAAGUAAAAGACUACGAUAAAAUCGCUCCGACCCCUCCUUUAUAUUUUAGCGAUCCUCCUGAAGACCAGCUUGUUCAAAAAGAGGAGAAGACAGAAGGCGCCAUUAGAUGGGAAACCUACCACAUGUAUAUCAAGGCAUCUGGAGGUUUCCUGUUGUGGUUUGUCAUCAUUCUUCUCUUUGUUCUGAUGAUUGCCAGCUCAAUCUUCAGCAACUGGUGGUUGAGUUUCUGGUUAAACCAAGGAUCUGGGAACAUAACGUGUAGCUAUCCUCAAAACACAACUUGUGAUGAGGGCAGCAUCACCAACAAUCCUCAGCUUCCGUUCUACCAGCUGGUCUUUGGGAUGAGUGUGGUCUCCAUGAUUGUCCUGAGUUUCAUCAAAGGUUAUGGUUUCACUAAGUUGACCUUACGAGGUGCCUCAAACCUCCACAACACCAUGUUUUACAAGAUCUUGGAGAGUCCAAUGAUUUUCUUUGAUACCAAUCCCAUCGGCAGAAUCAUGAACCGUUUCUCUAAGGAUAUGGACGAAGUGGAUACGCGAUUGCCGUUUUACCUGGAGAAUUUCCUCCUGCAGUUUUUUGGACUCCUGGCCAUUUUUACUAUUGUUACCAUCAUCUUUCCUUACCUCCUCAUCAGCAUGGUGGUCCUAAUGAUCAUUUUCAUUCUGCUCUUCCGUAUUUUUCAGAACACUAUCCAAGACCUCAAACGAAUUGAGAACAUCAGCAGAUCUCUGUGGUUGUGUUUGAUCACAUCUUCCAUCCAAGGUCUUAGUACGAUCCGUGCUUUCAACAAGACAGAGGACUACAUAAAUCGUUUUAGGAUCUUGAAUGAUGAAAACUCAAACCAUUUCAUUAUGUUUAACUAUGCACUACGAUGGUUUGCACUGAGGACAGAUAUUCUCAUGAACUUCAUGACGUUGAUUGUAGCCCUGUGUGUGGUCCUCAGCCAUUCUUCUAUCAGUACUGCAGAAAAAGGCUUGGCUCUAUCUUACUCUCUCCAGCUGAGUGGGCUUCUUCAAGUAUGUGUGAGAUCGUGCAUCGAAGUGCAAGCCAGAUUUACUUCUGUGGAGCAGAUAACAGGAUACAUUUUGAAAUGCACUCCGGAGGGAUCAGAGACCCCUCCAGUGGUCACCCCUCCCCCAGACUGGCCCGAUAAGGGGGAAAUCAUUUUCAAGAACUAUCAGAUGAAAUACCGGGAAAAUAGUCCUAUUGUCCUCCAUGACAUCAACAUCCACAUUCAAGCUAAAGAAAAAAUUGGGAUCAUUGGCAGGACCGGUUCAGGAAAGUCCUCUUUGGGGGCUGCUCUGUUUCGACUCGUGGAACCAACGUCUGGCACGAUUGUCAUUGACGGCAUUGACUCCUGCAGCAUUAGCCUGGAAUCUUUACGUUCAAAGCUGUCCAUCAUCCCGCAAGAUCCUGUUCUGUUUGUAGGUACAAUAAGGUACAACUUAGAUCCUUUUCUUAACCACACUGAUGAUCAAAUCUGGCAAGUUCUGAACCAGACGUUUAUGAAGAACAAGAUUUCCAAACUACCAGGAAAGCUGGAGGCAGAAGUGGUCGAAAACGGGGAAAAUUUUUCAGUGGGGGAACGACAGCUGCUCUGUCUGGCGAGAGCCCUCCUGCGAAACUCAAAAAUUAUCCUCCUUGACGAAGCCACUGCUUCUAUUGAUUCCGAGACAGAUACGCAGAUUCAGAGGGCCAAUAAAGAAGCAUUUGUAAACUGCACAGUCUUGACAAUAGCACACCGCCUCAACACCAUUAAAGAGUGCGACCGCAUUUUGGUGCUGGAUAAAGGCAAGGUUGUUACUUUCGGCAAGCCAAAAGAAAUUUUCAAACAUCCCAAUUUUCAUUUGCCUGUGGCUUAGCCACGGCCAGGAAAACCCCCAUCAGAGGAAGGCAAGACCACCAGCAGCACCAGCAGCGCUUUCCAGGUGGACUUUGGACAAUUGAGGCGUUGCAGGGAGGAAGGCAGCCAAUGGAGAAUACAUGCUUAACUCACCCGGCCUGUCCACAGGAUGAAGGCCUCUUCCACAUGUUUCCAACCGAUACAGUCUUGAGCUUUCUUUCGCCAACUGGGCCCGCCAUACUUGCUGAUGUCAUCGAUCCAUCUUGUUCUAGGUCUCUUUCGAUCAAGUGGGAACUAUUCUAUGACUGUCUUGGUCCUUCUGCCCUUAAUUCUUCUUGUUUUGAGACCGGCCCAUUUCCAUUUCAAUUCUUUUACUCCCUCGAUGGCAUCGUAUACUUUUGUUUGUU